GAUGAACGCUGGCGGCGUGCCUAAUACAUGCAAGUCGAGCGAACAGACGAGGAGCUUGCUCCUCUGACGUUAGCGGCGGACGGGUGAGUAACACGUGGAUAACCUACCUAUAAGACUGGGAUAAAUUCGGGAAACCGGAGCUAAUACCGGAUAAUAUAUUGAACCGCAUGGUUCAAUAGUGAAAGACGGUUUUGCUGUCACUUAUAGAUGGAUCCGCGCCGCAUUAGCUAGCUGGUAAGGUAACGGCUUACCAAGGCAACGAUGCGUAGCCGACCUGAGAGGGUGAUCAGCCACACUGGAACUGAGACGCGGUCCAGACUCCUACGGGAGGCAGCAGUAGGGAAUCUUCCGCAAUGGGCGGAAGCCUGACGGGACAACGCCGCGUGGGUGAUGAAGGUCUUCGGAUCGUAGAACUCUGUUGUUAGGAAAGAACGAUUGUGUAAGUAACUAUGCACGUCUUGACGGUACCUAAUCAGAAAGCCACGGCUAACUACGUG
rnacentral:rRNA from 1 species